AGUAAGAUAAGAUAAUAAAGUCUACUGGGUUCAUGCCCCGAAUGUGGUGUUUUCACCUCUUACUU
rnacentral:tRNA from 1 species